rnacentral:rRNA from 1 species
AAGCGAAAUCGCUCACUGGUCUAGUGAUUUUUCGCGGAAAAUAUAACGGAGCUAAAGAACGUACCGAAGCUGUAGACUUAGUAUACUAAGAGGUAGGAGAGCGUUCUAUUUGCGUUGAAGGAAUACCGGUAGGGAGUACUGGAGCGACUAGAAGUGAGCAUGCAGGCAUGAGGAGCGAUAAUUAAUGUGAGAAUCAUUAAUGCCGUAAAACCAAGGUUUGCUACGCGAUGCUCGUAAUCAUAGGGUUAGU